rnacentral:rRNA from 1 species
GAGCACGUAGGUGGGUUUGUAAGUCAGAUGUGAAAGCCUUCUGUUCAACGGAAGAAUUGCAUCUGAAACUGCGAGUCUUGAGUGUAGGAGGGGAGAAUGGAACUUCUGGUGGAGCGGUGAAAUGCGUAGAUAUCAGAAGGAACUCCGGCGGCGAAGGCGAUUCUCUGGCCUAUUACUGACACUCAGUGUGCGAAAGCUAGGGGAGCAAACGGGAUUAGAUACCCCGGUAGUCCUAGCCGUAAACGAUGGGCACUAAGUAGAGGGGUUUU